rnacentral:lncRNA from 1 species
UUCAGAGAAACCAACAACCACCUCUGCUCCUUCAACCACCUCUGAUCCUCCUCCUCCUCCUCCUCCUCCUCUCUAUAUCUGGUUACCUGCUGUGUGUGUUGGUGUUCUGGUUCUGCUGGUUCUGGUUCUUCUGGUUGGACGACGUGUUCUCAGGAAGUCUGAAGGUGAGGUUCAGUUUUAAACGUCAGAGCAAAAACUGAUAAAGACAGAGAAAUGUAAAUAUUUCAUGUUUUUUCAAUCAGCUGAUGGACCACCAGAUGUUACAUACGCUGACAUCAACAUCAAGCUCCACCCCCAGCAGCCAAUCAGACGCAGUACAGAUGGAGAUCCAGCUCCAGGUUCUACUGGAGACCAGACGUUUGGACAGAAGACCAUCAGAGAACGAUCCGACAGGAAACACCUGACAGAGGGUCCAGCCGUCAUCUACUCCACCCUGAGGUAGUCCAGCAGCAGCUGCAGAGCUGCAGGAGCUGAGAGGACUCGGAGAGGACUCGGAGAGGACUCGGAGCAUGAAGACCUACAGGAAACGCUUUCUGCUCUGCUGUGGUUUCUCUGUCUCAGGCUCAGAAAUGACUCAUGUUUCUGUGUUUAGAGCUCAGACCACAGACCCAGACAGUGUGGUUGGAAACUUCUUCAUUUGUUCAUCUGAUGGUGGUUUGUUGGUGGUUCAGAUUCUGUUUUUUAUUUUCAUCCUUUUCUCAGAUCUGCUUUGGAACUGAGAGUUUGUAAAGUUUCUCUUUGUUUUUAGUGACUGAAUGGUUGUAGCCCCGCCCCCUCAUGGAAUGAACACCUGAUUCUCUGCACCUGUUCAAUCAUUAAAACUUGAUGUUUUCAGGAUUCUUUGUUUCUGAACAUUUCCUCGUAUCAGUGAAGCUCCUCCUCCAGGUGACGUCUGGAAGUUGAAUCAUGGGGUCUGGACUUCAGAUCUUCUUUCAGAUGUUUCUAGUUUCAUCCCAGGAGGAGAACUUUCUCACUCUGGUUGUUGACCUGCAUGACAGCGUCUACAGGUGUGUUGGUGACUCACCUGGAGGAUGUUUGUGGG